AACUUUGCUGGAAUGCAUGAAGAACAACC
rnacentral:piRNA from 1 species